UAGGGAAUCUUCCACAAUGGACGAAAGUCUAAUGGAGCAACGCCGCGUGAGUGAAGAAGGGUUUCGGCUCGUAAAACUCUGUUGUUAAAGAAGAACAUAUCUGAGAGUAACUGUUCAGGUAUUGACGGUAUUUAACCAGAAAGCCACGGCUAACUACGUGCCAG
rnacentral:rRNA from 1 species